CACUCGUACGUACAUAAGUUGAACCCUGGAUGUACAUACACCAUGCAAGAAACAAAUUAUUGCAUAGUAUUGUCAUGGCAACGGGUGUCGUGUGGUUGUUUAUUGUUGCAGCUGUCACAACGAUGAACGCUCAAUUUAAGAAACCUCGGUGUUUAACUCUGUGGGAGAAAUGUUCGGAACGCUACCCACACUGGACAGUUUCUGAAUGCGAUGAGUAUUUGGCACGAAGUUUUUCAUGUCCGCGACCGAAAUCUUUGAAGAGUGGUGCCCCCAAAAAUGACUAUGACUACGUCGCUGUGAGAGAGAACGUGGAGACGGAGAGGUCAGAGGAAGUGGGUGCGGUUAGGCGAAAUUGACUGAUUGUAAUUAAUCAUGAAUUAGCAACUUUUAAUUAAAACUCUUCGUGAUUAUGUUUUUGCUCCCAUUUUUGUAAUUUGUUUAAUUUGCGGGCCACAUUUCUGACAAAUUCAUGUGCCUUGUCGCUAAAUUAGCAAAUAAGGAAGGCAUCUGAAGAUAUCAAAUGAUUUAUAAUUUGUGACAAACUUCUAGUAUUCAAUGUAUUUAUUAUAGA